UCUAAGGACAUCUGUGUGCUUUCCUUCUA
rnacentral:piRNA from 1 species